rnacentral:rRNA from 1 species
UACGGAGGGGGCUAGCGUUGUUCGGAAUCAUUGGGCGUAAAGAGCUCGUAGGCGGUUUGUCGCGUCGAAUGUGAAAUCCCGGGGCUCAACCCCGGGUCUGCAUUCGAUACGGGCAGACUAGAGUUCGGUAGGGGAGUCUGGAAUUCCUGGUGUAGCGGUGAAAUGCGCAGAUAUCAGGAGGAACACCGGUGGCGAAGGCGGGUCUCUGGGCCGAUACUGACGCUGAGGAGCGAAAGCGUGGGGAGCGAACAGG